rnacentral:rRNA from 1 species
UAAGAGGUCCCGCCUGCCCUGUGACUAUAAGUUUAACGGCCGCGGUAUUUUGACCGUGCGAAGGUAGCGCAAUCACUUGUCUCUUAAAUGGGGACCUGUAUGAAUGGCACCACGAGGGCUUAACUGUCUCCACUUUCCAGUCAAUGAAAUUGAUCCCCCCGUGCAGAAGCGGGGAUAAAGACAUAAGACGAGAAGACCCUAUGGAGCUUUAGACACUAAAGUAGAUCAUGUCAAACACCCCUAGAUAAAGGACAAAACCAAAUGAAACCUACCCUAAUGUCUUUGGUUGGGGCGACCGCGGGGAAAUACAAAACCCCCACGUGGAAUGAGAACAUCUCUUAAAACCAAGAGCUCCCGCUCUAAUUAACAGAAUUUCUGACCAAUAAGAUCCGGUUGCCGAUCAACGGACCGAGUUACCCUAGGGAUAACAGCGCAAUCCCCUUUUAGAGCCCAUAUCGACAAGGGGGUUUACGACCUCGAUGUUGGAUCAGGACAUCCUAAUGGUGCAGCCGCUAUUAAGGGUUCGUU